UACGGGGGGGGCAAGCGUUGUUCGGAAUUACUGGGCGUAAAGGGCUUGUAGGCGGCCAACUAAGUCAGACGUGAAAUCCCUCGGCUUAACCGGGGAACUGCGUCUGAUACUGGAUGGCUUGAGUGUGGGAGAGGGAUGCGGAAUUCCAGGUGUAGCGGUGAAAUGCGUAGAUAUCUGGAGGAACACCGGUGGCGAAGGCGGCCCCCUGGACCGGUACUGACGCUGAGGCGCGAAAGCGUGGGUAGCAAACGGG
rnacentral:rRNA from 1 species